AGAGUUUGAUCCUGGCUCAGAGCGAACGCUGGCGGCGUGCUUAACACAUGCAAGUCGAACGAGUGUAGCAAUACAUUCGUGGCGAACGGGUGCGUAACACGUGGAUAACCUUCCUUGAGGUGGGGAAUAACCCAGUGAAAAUUGGGAUAAUACCGCAUAACACAGCGAUGGCUCAUGCUGUUGCUGUCAAAGGAGCAAUUCGCCACAAGAGGGAUCCGCGGCCGAUUAGCUAGUUGGUGAGGUAACGGCUCACCAAGGCAAUGAUCGGUAGCCGGUCUGAGAGGAUGAUCGGCCACACUGGAACUGAGACACGGUCCAGACUCCUACGGGAGGCAGCAGUGGGGAAUCUUGCACAAUGGGCGAAAGCCUGAUGCAGCAACGCCGCGUGGGGGAUGAAGCUUCUCGGAGUGUAAACCCCUUUCGACCCGGACGAAUGCCCGCAAGGGUUUGACGGUACGGGUAUAAGAAGCCCCGGCUAACUACGUGCCAGCAGCCGCGGUAAGACGUAGGGGGCCAGCGUUGCUCGGAAUUACUGGGCGUAAAGGGUCCGUAGGCGGUGCGGUAAGUUGGGAGUGAAAUCUCUGGGCUUAACUCAGAGGCUGCUUCCAAAACUACCGUGCUCGAGUGCGA
rnacentral:rRNA from 1 species